rnacentral:rRNA from 1 species
GACGAACGCUGGCGGCGUGCUUAACACAUGCAAGUCGAACGGUUAACCUCGUCGGAGGGGAUCAGUGGCGAAAGGGUGAGUAACACGUGGUCAACCUGCCCCCGGCUCUGGGAUAACUCCAAGAAAUUGGGGCUAAUACCGAAUGUUCACCGCUUCGCGCAUGGGUGGUGGUGGAAAGGGUUUCCGGCUGGGGAUGGGCCCGCGGCGUAUCAGCUUGUUGGUGGGGUAGUGGCAUACCAAGGCGACGACGGGUAGCCGGCCUGAGAGGGUGACCGGCCCCACUGGGACUGAGCCACGGCCCAGACUCAUACGGGAGGCAGCGGUGGGGAAUAGUGCGCAAUGGGCGGAAGCCUGACGCAGCGCAGCAGCGUGGGGGAUGACGGCAUUCGGGUUGUAACCCUAUUCCAGCAGGGAAGAAGCGAAAGUGACGGUACCUGCAGAAGAAGCACCGGCCAACUACGUG